rnacentral:rRNA from 1 species
AGUGAACGCUGGCGGUAGGCCUAACACAUGCAAGUCGAACGGCAGCACAGUAAGAGCUUGCUCUUACGGGUGGCGAGUGGCGGACGGGUGAGGAAUACAUCGGAAUCUACUUUUUCGUGGGGGAUAACGUAGGGAAACUUACGCCAAUACCGCAUACGACCUACGGGUGAAAGCAGGGGAUCUUCGGACCUUGCGCGAUUGAAUGAGCCGAUGUCGGAUUGGCUAGUUGGCGGGGUAAAGGCCCACCAAGGCGACGAUCCGUUGCUGGUCUGAGAGGACGAUCAGCCACACUGGAACUGAGAAACGGUCCAAACUCCUACGGGAGGCAGCAGUGGGGAAUAUUGGACAAGGGGCGCAAGCCUGAUCCAGCCAUACCGCGUGGGUGAAGAAGGCCUUCGGGUUGUAAAGCCCUUUUGUUGGGAAAGAAAAGCAGCAGGUUAAUACCCCGCUGUUCUGACGGUACCCAAAGAAUAAGCACCGGCUAACUUCGUG